rnacentral:SRP_RNA from 1 species
GCCGGGCAUGGUGGCGGAUGCCUGUAAUCCCAGCUACUUGGGAGGCUGAGGCAAGAGAAUCGCUUGAACCCAGGAGGCGGAGGUUGCAGUGAGCCGAGAUGGUGCACUGCACUCCAGCCUGGGUGACAGAGUGAGACUUCGUCUCCA